UUUCCGUAGGUGAACCUGCGGAAGGAUCAUUAUUGAAUAAUCGAGCUCCGAUGUCUGUCGCUGACCCGAUAGGUCGUGCACGCCCGAGUGCUCUCACACACAUCCUUCUCACUUCUAUGUGCACUACCGCGCUGCUUCCUCUCUGCUUUGUUCCUAGGCGGGCUUACUUUUUAAAACAAACCUUGUAUGCACUGUAAAAUGUAUUUUUCUUUUUUGUGACCACGCUAACAAUCCAACUAUCAACAACGAAUCCAUUGGCUCUCGCAUCGAUCUCAACCC
rnacentral:misc_RNA from 1 species